rnacentral:rRNA from 1 species
CCUACGGGAGGCAGCAGUGGGGGAUAUUGCACAAUGGGGGAAACCCUGAUGCAGCGACGCCGCGUGGGUGAAGAAGCGCCUCGGCGCGUAAAGCCCUGUCAGCAGGGAAGAGAAUGACGGUACCUGAAGAAGAAGCCCCGGCUAACUACGUGCCAGCAGCCGCGGUAAUACGUAGGGGGCAAGCGUUAUCCGGAUUUACUGGGUGUAAAGGGGGCGCAGACGGCGAUGCAAGCCAGGAGUGAAAGCCCGGGGCCCAACCCCGGGACUGCUCUUGGAACUGCGUGGCUAGAGUGCACGAGGGGCAGGCGGAAUUCCUGGUGUAGCGGUGAAAUGCGUAGAUAUCAGGAGGAACACCGGUGGCGAAGGCGGCCUGCUGGACUGCAACUGACGUUGAGGCCCGAAAGCGUGGGGAGCAAACAGGAGUAGAUACCCGGGUAGUC